rnacentral:rRNA from 1 species
AACGAACGCUGGCGGCGUGCCUAACACAUGCAAGUCGUGCGAGAAAGUUCCUUCGGGAGCGAGUAAAGCGGCGCACGGGUGAGUAACACGUAGGUAACCUGCCCCCCAGUCUGGAACAACUAGAGGAAACUCUAGCUAAUGCCGGAUGAGACCACGAUCCCUUCGGGGGUUGCGGCCAAAGAUGGCCUCUACUUGUAAGCUAUCGCUGAGGGAUGGGCCUGCGGGCCAUUAGCUUGUUGGUGAGGUAACGGCUCACCAAGGCUGUGAUGGCUAGCUGGUCUGAGAGGAUGACCAGCCACACUGGGACUGAGACACGGCCCAGACUCCUACGGGAGGCAGCAGUGGGGAAUAUUGCGCAAUGGGCGAAAGCCUGACGCAGCGACGCCGCGUGGGUGAUGAAGGCCUCGGUCGUAAGA